AGUAAGGCAUCGGAACGUACCGAGUAGUGGGGGAUAACUGUCCGAAAGGAUGGCUAAUACCGCAUACGCUUUGAGAAGGAAAGCGGGGGAUCUUCGGACCUCGCGCUAUUCGAGCGGUCGAAGUCUGAUUAGCUGGUUGGUGGGGUAAACGCCUACCACGGCGACGAUCAGGACCGGGUCUGAGAGGAUGAUCCGCCACACUGGGACUGAGACACGACCCAGACUCCUACGGGAGGCGGCAGUGGGGAAUUUUGGACAAUGGGCGCAAGCCUGAUCCAGCCAUGGCGCGUGUCUGAAGAAGGGCUUCUGGUUGUAAAGGACUUUUGUCGAGGAAGAAAAGCUUGAGGCUAAUACCCUUGAAUGAUGACGGUACCUGAAGAAUAAGCUCCCUCUAUGUACGUGCCAGCAGCCGCGGUAAUACGUAGGGUGCGAGCGUUAAUCGGAAUUACUGGGCGUAAAGCGGGCGCAUACGGUUACUUAAGUCAAAUGUGAAAUCCCCGGGCUCAACCUGGGAACUGCGUUUGAGACUGUGUAGCUAGAGUAAGUCAGAGGGAGGUAGAAUUUCUGGGGUAGCGGUGGAAUG
rnacentral:rRNA from 1 species